rnacentral:lncRNA from 10 species
GCCGCGGCCGCUUUCCUCACGUCUGCGGCUGCCAGUUCCUCCUGCACCGGGAGUUGGCAGCGGGGCGAGUCUGGAGCUGGCGGGGAUAGGAGAGCGUGGGGCCACGGCUUCUGUGCGCGGGUUGGGUGAUGAUUGAGGACAGUGAUCAGCCUUGCUUAGCGCUUCACCCCUUGCCCCGGGGAAAGCUGGAUGAGGGAUCUCCGGGCUCCUAGACUAAGUGUGGGUUGUCCCGGAACCGCCUGUACCCACUCCGAGUUGAUUUAUUACGGUCCCAUUGCUGUUAGUAUUUUUGUUGUUGUUGUUGUUGUUGUUUGUUUGUUUUUACUCGAGUAAUCCAGGAACUGGCGGAAACGUUGAGUUCCGUACCCGGUGAUUGUUGGCCCCUGGAGUUCGCGGUCCUUUCGGCACUGACUGACUCGGCGACCUCCCCCGCACCGCGCAGACCCCUGCAGGACCCUAGCCGCUCACCUGCCGCCCCCGGCUCCAGACUCCGACGACCCAGCGUGGGUCUCCGGGGAUCCAGUGUCUAGAGUUGGGGGGGUCUCGAGGACGAAGGGAAGUUUUUUAAUGCUACACUUUUUGUUUAAGGUUCUUGCCUGGAAACAUUAAAACACACACACACACACACACACACACACACACACACAAAUUUGUAGGCUGGUCUAAAUGUCUCCAGCUCUAUUUCUUAAUUUCUUGUAAAUCAUGAAUCAUAAAGUGUCAUGGCUAUACGGUGAUCCUAUUAGAAUUCCUCACAGCCGUUUAUUUGGGCUUUUUGUGAAAAACUGCAUAUCAUGUUAAAGAAAAAAUGUAAUGAAUUAUUUAAAGAAUCCUUGCAUGUAUAAAAUGGAAAAUACAACCUAUGCGUGCGUACCUGUAUAUAGUCUCUACUGUUUAAAGCAACACUGCCUUCCACAGGAUAAAAAUAAUGGUAGCAUUUUUUUUUUCAUAAAUAUUAUCUCUGAUAUGGAAGAAAUCCAGAAGUGGCUAAUAAUAUUGACACUAUAACAAUAAUGUCAAUAUUAUUAGCCACUUCUGGAUUUAUGAAUCAUGUCUCAAGGAUUAUUAUUUAUGAUAAUCAGGCCAGCCUUUCCCAUUUUUCCCCUCCUGAGAUAUCCAAGCCCUCAUAGCCACUGAUAAUGCUGCUGCUGCUGCUAAAAGUUAGCUGAGAGUCUGUUCAAGAAAACUUUCUUAAGAAUGACGUAGUAAUAUGCAAGAUAUAAUUGUUUUGCUUCUCCUCAAGUUAUUCUCGAUAUGGGAAGAUGAAGUAAGGAAACAUUAGGAAGACAUGUAAGUGAGAAGAUUUAGUCUCUGCACUCAAGACCGGGCCUUUUCUGGAGUGAGCUCUAUGGCAGUUUGCCCUGGCUGUCUGUUGUAAUGAAUGGCAUAGAGCUGUGCUUGAACGCAUGAGAGGCAAUAAGCUGUUAUGUGUGUAGUAAUCGUACUCCUCCCUGCUGCAGUCACCCUUGUUUUAUUACUCCUAUACAAUCCCCCCCACUGACCCAAUUGUAACAGUUGGGAAAAUGCCAAAAUACUUAGGAGCAACCAUAUGGAAGACCCUCCAAAAGUGCACAGCAGGAGCUAAAGACAGGGCUUGUUCAUUACAAUAAAGACAAAAUAGAAAUAUUUACUAUUUAAACUCAGUACUCUAAUAGCUUGUUCUCCCAUAGUUUGAAGAAGGCUGAUAUUCAGCUGAUUGCACCAGUCUAGCUAGAGUCCAUUCUGAUUAGUUGGUGGCCACAUUUCUCCUGUACACAUUUUGUAUUAUUAUAUCGCUCCUUAUUUAAAGGGCAUGAUACACUUAAAUAUAUGUUGUUUUCUGGAGUAUUUCAUAACAUAGUUUCCUCCUCUGAAACUGAAAUAUUUGCCAUUUUUUCAUCUUUGGGUACCUCGGGUUAUAAUUUGAAUGGGUGCAUUCUUCUCCUUGUUCAGCUUUUGAAGAAAGAUAGCAUAACAUUGGAGAGUGCUGAUUCUGGACACAGACUGCCCAGUUCUGUGACCAAUUCUGUGACUUUUAAGUUUUAAGACCUAGGCCAGUUCACUGAAGCUCUCCGUGUUUCUUUCAUCACAUAUGUGAUAGAGAUAACAUUAGCCCACCUUUCAUAUAUUAGGUUGGUACAAAAGUAAUUGGCGAAAACCACAGUUACUUUUGCACCAACCUAAUAGCUGUUGCAAGGAUUAAAUGAGUUAAUAUGUUAAACAUUCAAAGUAGUGCUUGGCACGUAAUGUCUUAGCCCCUCUGUGCAGCUACAACAAAAUACCACAGACUGGGUAAUUUAUAAACAGUAGAAAUUUAUUUCUCACAUUUGUGGAGGCUGGGGAGUCCAAGAUCAAGGAACCCAGAGGUUUUGUUUCUGGUGAGAGCUGCUUUCUGCUUCCAUGAUGGUACCUUGCUGUUGCAUCCUCAAGAAGAAAGAGAUGCUGUAUCCUCACAUGGCAAGAAGGACAGAAGGGUAAAAGGGCGGUAGGCAGCUCCCUCACACCUGUUUUAUAAAGGAACUAAUCUCAUUCAUGAGGGCUCCACCCUCAUGACUUAAUCACAUCCUAAAGUUCCCACCUCUAAAAACUAUCACAUUAGUGAUUAAGUUUCAACAUAUGAAUUUUUGGGGGGUACAUUCACACCAUAUCACAUAAUAAUCAUUUUUGUAUUAUCUGUAUUGUUGUUUCCAGCUGUUUUACCUUUUUAUGCUUUCUCAAGUAAUCUUCAUGCUGAAAUUCUCUUCUCUGUAGUACAGAAAACACAAAUUGAAGAUUUAGGCUUUCUGAUGCUGAUCUUGGUUACCUUCACCUUAACAGCCACCACCUCCCCAAAUUAGCCCAUUUCUUUCUCCUUAAUAAAAAAAUGGUUUUAUUCUCAGCAAACUAACACAGGAACAGAAAACCAAACACUGCAUAUUCUCACUCAUAAGUGGGGGUUGAGCAGUGAGAACACAUGGACACAGGGAGGGGAACAUCACAUGCCAGGGCCUGUCAGGGGGUGGGGGGAAAGGGGAGG